CCUACGGGGCGCAGCAGUGGGGAAUAUUGGACAAUGGGCGAAAGCCUGAUCCAGCCAUGCCGCGUGUGUGAAGAAGGCCUUCGGGUUGUAAAGCACUUUCAGUGGGGAAGAAAGCCUUGGGGCUAAUACCCUCGAGGAAGGACAUCACCCACAGAAGAAGCACCGUCUAACUCCGUGCCAGCAGCCGCGGUAAUACGGAGGGUGCGAGCGUUAAUCGGAAUUACUGGGCGUAAAGCGCGCGUAGGCGGUCUGAUAAGCCGGUUGUGAAAGCCCCGGGCUCAACCUGGGAACGGCAUCCGGAACUGUCAGGCUAGAGUGCAGGAGAGGAAGGUAGAAUUCCCGGUGUAGCGGUGAAAUGCGUAGAGAUCGGGAGGAAUACCAGUGGCGAAGGCGGCCUUCUGGACUGACACUGACGCUGAGGUGCGAAAGCGUGGGUAGCAAACAGGAUUAGAUACCCCAGUAGUC
rnacentral:rRNA from 1 species